AGGGAUCUUCUGCCCUUGGUCCUAAGUGCCACUAUCUGUGCUGAGUUUUUCAAAGGUCAGAGCAGAUUGAACCAUUGUGGUUUCAUUUUCCCUGAUUUUGAUUUUUCUUAUGGGGAACCUGUGUGGCUGCAUUCAAGGUGACUCGAAGAAGCCUUCCAAAAAGCAUGUGAAAAGGAAGCCCUACUCUACUACCAAGGUGACUUCAGGGAGCACAUUCAAUGGUACGUAUUCUGGAAUCACUCACUGGUUGUUAGAAAAGGAUUCUACAGGAAAUCUGGAGCUUAACUGCUGGCUUUUGUCUGGAGAGCCUCCAUGAUCCAAGACAUCUGGUGGGAAUGAGGAUGUAGGGUAUAGUAAAAGAAACUGGUUUUCCUGGUGACAUACUCUUUUUAUCUAUGUAUAGUUUCUGGGAACAUGUUCACAUUAGGUUGUGUGUGGGUAUGUGUGUAUUAGGGCGGGGGUGGGGUGAGGUGGUCUGUGUGCAAGUCUGCAUGAUUUGCUUGUGAAUGUGUGUCUAUGUGUGUUUCCCCUAGGAAAAAAAUGUUGUGUUUACCCAGCACAACUCUCAGUGCCAUU
rnacentral:lncRNA from 1 species